rnacentral:ncRNA from 2 species
UGCGGAGACUCGGGGUGCCCUUCAUGAGGUGUGAAGGCUGAGAAAUACCCGUAUUACCUGAUCUGGAUAAUACCAGCGUAGGGAAGUCUUGGCGUCCUGAC